AAUCUUGCUGGAGAUCUUUGCCUACCUGAGGGUUUCCAAGGAUCAAAGAAAUUGAGGCAGCUCAUUGCACACUACUGCAGCUUGCAUAGAGACACCUUGGGCUGACUUCUGUUUUGAGCUGUACACCACAAAAAGGGAAAACAAAGAUACAUGGAAAUUAAUCUUAAUCUUCCUGUCCUGGUUACCUCAAGCUUCAGCUUAAGAAGGAAAUCAAUAGCUGCUCCUAACCAUUAGCCACACAGAUCAAAGAGGAGGGAAUGUGCAUUUUCAUGUCCGGUGGAAAUGGCCAUGGAUCGAUGGACUUGUCUCUCAUCUCAAUCUCUUCUUGCUAGAGCACAAGUGCAAGGAUAAUUCUGUGUACAGCACUGGACUCUUGCAGCAACUUGAAAGUGACAAUGAGGAUCUCAAAAAUGAAUCAGAGAAAGCCUGAUCAGCAGCAGCUUGAGUCUGGUUGAAUGGAGGGGGACUGAACUCAAGACAGAGGGUUAAUAGACAAGGAGUGGGCUCUGCUUUGCUUCCCCACCCUCCAGCCUGUGCAGCUGGGCCAGCGCCAUGGCUGUUGUAAUUUCCUUCCAUCAGCAGCAAGGGGAGAACGGGAGACCAACUGUGACUCACAUGGUCUGAGUCAAAUCUUUUCCCUGGCUGUUCCUGAACACAGCUUAGAGCAUCUUCUCAUUUAAUUUCAAAGCCCUGGCCAGGCUCUUGGGUAGUGUUACCUCCAACUGUAAAUCGCAGAGGGAAGCAGUGGGAGGUUCCUCAGGCUUUUGGAAAAUGACACUUGGAAAAUUCAGCAGCAUUAAUAGGAAAACCCUGCAUGUAUCCAUAGUGGCUAAUAGUAACAAGAGAAAGUGUUUCAUGUAGAAACGAGAAAGGGAGUAGUUCUCACAUGUGCAAAAUCAGGGUAUUCUGUCCCAGAAUUGCUCUGCUCUUAAAAGAACUUAAUUAUCCCCUUGCCUUAUGUUGUCUAAAAUUGUGUGGAUCAGUCGUCCUAAACAUCCUCACUUAGGGGAUGUAUGGUGACCCUAAAUGUGUAUCUGCCAUAGGCACAAGCGAACACCAACGAAGCAGAGGAGAACCUUAACUACAGAUGUUUGUUUGGUUGGUUGGUUUUUGUAUCAGUAUUUACGUUGCAUUCAUCUUUGACCACAUAUAUGGUAUACUGGACAAUACUAUUUACAAACCUUAAUACGUUUCUCAUUCAAUUUUGGCUAAAAGCAAAAAAAAGAGAGCAGGGACUGUUGACAGAAGUAGUAGUAAGUAUGUACAGAAGCAUUUGAAAGAUUGGAGCACUGAUGAAAUAAUGAUCUUAG
ensembl:lncRNA